rnacentral:rRNA from 1 species
UACGGAGGAUCCGAGCGUUAUCCGGAUUUAUUGGGUUUAAAGGGUGCGUAGGCGGCCUUUUAAGUCAGCGGUGAAAGUCUGUGGCUCAACCAUAGAAUUGCCGUUGAAACUGGGGGCCUUGAGUGCGGCGGAGGCAUGCGGAAUGCGCGGUGUAGCGGUGAAAUGCAUAGAUAUCGCGCAGAACCCCGAUUGCGAAGGCAGCGUGCCGUGCCGCCACUGACGCUGAGGCACGAAAGCGCGGGGAUCGAACAGG